CCUACGGGUGGCUGCAGUGGGGAAUAUUGGACAAUGGGGGGAACCCUGAUCCAGCCAUGCCGCGUGUGUGAAGAAGGCCCUCGGGUUGUAAAGCACUUUCAGUGAGGAAGAACGCCUGGUGGUUAAUACCCAUCAGGAAAGACAUCACUCACAGAAGAAGCACCGGCUAACUCCGUGCCAGCAGCCGCGGUAAUACGGAGGGUGCGAGCGUUAAUCGGAAUUACUGGGCGUAAAGCGCGCGUAGGUGGCUUGAUAAGCCGGUUGUGAAAGCCCCGGGCUCAACCUGGGAACGGCAUCCGGAACUGUCAAGCUAGAGUGCAGGAGAGGAAGGUAGAAUUCCCGGUGUAGCGGUGAAAUGCGUAGAGAUCGGGAGGAAUACCAGUGGCGAAGGCGGCCUUCUGGACUAACACUGACACUGAGGUGCGAAAGCGUGGGUAGCAAACAGGAUUAGAUACCCUAGUAGUC
rnacentral:rRNA from 1 species